UACGUAGGGUGCGAGCGUUGCCCGGAUUUAUUGGGCGUAAAGCGCGCGCAGGCGGCCUUGUAAGUCUGUUGUUUUAAACUUGGGGCUCAACCCCAAGUCGCAAUGGAAACUGCAAAGCUUGAGUGCAGAAGAGGGAAAGUGGAAUUCCACGUGUAGCGGUGAAAUGCGUAGAGAAUGUGGAGGAACACCAGUGGCGAAGGCGGCCUUCUGGCUCGUGUCUGACGCUGCAGCGCGAAAGCGUGGGGAGCGAACAGG
rnacentral:rRNA from 1 species